AUGUGCUCUUCAGUGCUGUUGAUGUCCAGUCCUUCAGGGAGGAAAGAAUUCAAAGAAAAAGAACUACCAAAAAAGAACUUGAUGCAAAGUAUCUGACUUUUAUAGAUUGGGUAGCACAAAUCACAUUUUCAUUGGCUGCAAAUAUCAAGUGGACAAACAAAAGAGAAACUACACAGAAGAGGAGGAUCACAUUUUCAAUGCAGCAGCCAAACUUCAUUAGCUUGGAUUUGAUAAGGCAGAUGUGUAUGAGGAACUGCCACAGUGGAUUCGCAGUUCUCAGUGGAAGUCCAAAGGAGAUGUAAUAUCUUAAUUACAUGUAUUGAAAGAGAAAACAUGAAACUAGAAGGAAAUGAGAAGCCCCAGAAAAAGUAACAUGGACCAAAGCCUUCAGUAAGUAUUCAUGAACACAGGCAGAUGUACAGAUUGGAAAAUUUCGGUUUUUUUUUCUUUCUAAGAAUAUUACUUGGCUAUUGAUGUGUAAGUGGUUUUGGUUUCAUUUUUGUAAAUAGCACAGUUGAGCCACGUAAAGUAAAAAUUUAAUUUGAUUGCAUUAGGAAAAUGUCAUAAUAAAGGUUCUUAAACAUCUGGGGAGGUAUAUGUCAUGAAUGCUAAGAGUGCACUUCUUUUGUGAAUGCCAUAAUUUUAGAAUCAUUUAAAGAAUACUAGGAAAACUUUGGUUGGACUUAUAAACUUUACUAUUAGCUUCUGAGCUGUGACUGAUUGUCCCAGGGAUGUCUUAUUAAUGUGAAGGCAAGCAUUCUAAGGAGAACAAAGUUGCCUUUUAAUGCUAUGUUACUAUAAAGUGUUUGUGAAUGUAGUUCAUGUUUACAUUAGUCUUGUCAUGAAAAGUACUGUCUCUGCUUGUUUGUAGACACAGAAGUGUAAAAUGAAUGGAGCACCUGAUGGCUGCAGAAGAAAAUGAAGCUGAAACUAUGAAUACAUAUUUGUUUCAUAAUCAAAAUUUAAGUGCUCAUUACAUGUGUUGUACAAUGCUAAUUGUCAUGACAUUUAUAGGAAUCAGAUUCAUCUGUCUGUUGUAAUAUAUAAUGUAGUUUCAUUUUUAAAUGCAUCAGCUUUGCUGAAAUUUUGUAUCAUCAACACAAAGUAAUAAAAUAAGCUUUAUUUAUUAAUAAAUGUUUCAUUUAUUUUUCUUAUAGUUCCACUAGCAAAGAUUGUGAUUUUUGUUUAUCAGCAAACUUUUACACACUUGUAAGACUUAAGAACUAUCAAACAAAAAGGUGCAAAUAACACUUGUCCCUUCAGUCUUCCUUAGAUAUGUAAUUGUUUUAGUUCACAAUGCCUUUCAGGAAUUUGAAUAUUUUCUUGAUGUGCUGUUGAAUAUCAUCUGGAUAGAUUAUAUAAACUCAAUUCUCCUUGAUUAUUACAGAAUAAGGGAAAAGGCAACACAAACUGUAAUUAACUUCUAUACACAUUUCUGAUAUGUUUUCUCUUUCUAUGAUUGGUUCUGAAAUGAAUAUGCCCUAUUCUGUUGGAAGAAUAGCCUUUUGGUUGUACACACAAAGACAUUUAGUAUUUGCUAGUUCUUUUAGGUGCUAUACCAUUUUUGAAAGGAAUUUUUUAAAGUAUGCGAUAAAUAUUUUGAUCAAUGAUCUUUGCAAGCAGCCACAACUUAGAAUGAUAAUGUCAGAACUUAAGUGAUUUUUUUUUUUUAUAGGAAGACCCAGCCAAAAUGAAUUGUGAAUUUGUCAUACUGUUAAAAUUUGUAACAACUUGGAUUCCCUUCCAGCUUAGAGUAUUUUUCAGUCACAGAGUAAAUGAAAAUUCUAUUAAUAUAUUUUAACAUAAUUUCUAAAUGUUAGCAGCAACACUGAAUAUAAUUCCAGUUUUUAUUUUGUAUGGAACAGAUUAAUAAACCAGAAUCACUGAGGCAGGAAUGCCCAAAUCAUAGUGUCAGGAUUUCACCUGCUCCAGAGGCCUUUAUGUGCUGUACAUUAUUUGUAUAAAGUUUUGUAUCUGCAAGUUGGGCACAUAAACAGUUCUUCAUUUUUUUAAGGAAACAGGAUAAAUGUAGCAUCAUGAAUAAAUCUUUUAAUCUUUAAAGUGGUCUUAAAGAAAUCACCAAUAC